CCUACGGGCGGCAGCAGUAGGGAAUUUUGCGCAAUGGGCGAAAGCCUGACGCAGCAACGCCGCGUGAUCGAGACGCCCUUCCGGGUGUUAAGCUCUGUCAGUGGGGAAGAAACUUGACGGUACCCACCGAGGAAGCACCGGCUAACUCCGUGCCAGCAGCCGCGGUAAUACGGGGGGUGCAAGCGUUGCCCGGAAUCAUUGGGCGUAAAGAGUUCGUAGGCGGCACGGAAAGUCAGAUGUUAAAGGCAGAGGCUCAACUUCUGAACGGCAUUGGAUACUUUCGAGCUAGAAUGCGGUAGAGGUAGAUGGAAUUCCUGGUGUAGCGGUGAAAUGCUUAGAGAUCAGGAGGAACAGCGGUUGCGUAAGCGCUUUACUGGGCCAUAAUUGACGCUGAUGAACGAAAGCCAGGGUAGCAAAUGGGAUUAGAUACCCCUGUAGUC
rnacentral:rRNA from 1 species